UGGAGGAACAACCUCAGUGGCGGGGCCAGCUCUGGAGCCCUGGAGUCAGCUCCUGCAGUAACUACAGAGCUCUCUGUCCGCAGGGCCUGGAGGCUCCGGGGCGGG
rnacentral:pre_miRNA from 1 species